rnacentral:lncRNA from 1 species
AAAAUUGGCAGUUAGGAAAGUUGAUUUAAGUAGGGAUGACGUGGAGGAACAAAUUAUAAGCAAAGUUGAAUAAGAUGAUAUGUUAAAAAUAGAAAGUAGGGAAAAUAGAGGAGAGAAAAUUAAGGAAAAAGAUAUUGUUUCUUCAAAGUCAUUACCUUAUCCCCCUAUAAAGAAGAUUUUUUUUUUUGUAUGAAGGACGUUAUAAAAAAU